GUUUGGAGUCUCCAAACCCAGCAGAUUCCUGUGUUCCUCCCGGAGGAAGGCUCACCUGAUUUGGUCAGACGCACCCAGGAUAAGCUACCUUUCGAUUAAAAUUGGCUGCGCAGGAGUUCUGGAAAAGAGAUGAGUACAUGGGGUCAGUUCACCAUGUUUAAGAUGAUUUUUCUCAAUCUCAUUUAACUCAGCAGUUAGACCUGUGCAAGGAUCUAAGGUUUUUUAAAGCCAUUUCUU